AUUUCCGGCGCGGAGGGAGGAUUGAAGUUCCAUUUAUUCACUACUGGCGCCUUGGAAAUUAGUCCCAUUAUCUGAGAAGAUUUCUGUCGGAGGACCUCUGCUGCUAACGAAUCUCCUGAUGGCCAUUAUGCAUGAUUCUGUUGAAAGGCUGUGGGCGACUUCAAGAUGGACCGCCCUCGUUGCUAAGCAUGUGAGGACGACCACGUACCUCUUCUCAUUUAGUCGGGCAUUAGUCACAUCGAUUGGGCCCAAAUAGUCGACUCCCACAUUUGUGAACGGACACAGGAGUGGGCGUCUACAGGAUUUCAUAGCCCUAUCCACGGCUGCUCUCAAAAACGGAAUGUAGAACCGCUGCCGGACUUCGUUACCUACUGUCUCCCUAUUGGCGUGUGCAUGCCGCUCAUGGUAGUGUCCUAGGAGUAACGACGUUAUGGUAUGUUGUGUAGGUAAAAUCACCGGAAAUUUUGCAUCAUAUGG